UACAGAGGUCUCAAGCGUUUGUUCGGAUUCAUUGGGCGUAAAGGGUGCGUAGGCGGCGCGGUAAGGUCGGGUGUGAAAUCUCGGGGCUUAACUCCGAAACUGCAUUCGAUACUGCCGUGCUUGAGGACUGGAGAGGAGACGUGGAAAUUUACGGUGUAGCGGUGAAAUGGCGUAGAUAUCGUAAGGAAGACCAGUGGCGAAAGGCGGGUC
rnacentral:rRNA from 1 species